GCUUGAGCACGUAGGUGGGUUUGUAAGUCAGGUGUGAAAGCCUUCUGUUCAACGGGAGAAUUGCAUCUGAAACUACGAAUCUUGAGUGUAGGAGGGGAGAAUGGAACUUCUGGUGGAGCGGUGGAAUGCGUAGAUAUCAGAAGGAACGCCGGCGGCGAAAGCGAUUCUCUGGCCUAUUACUGACACUCAGUGUGCGAAAGCUAGGGGAGCAAACGGGAUUAGAUACCCCGGUAGUCCUAGCCGUAAACGAUGGGCACUAAGUAGAGGGGAUUACCGACGUUCUCUCUGCCGUAGCUAACGCAUUAAGUGCCCCGCCUGGGGAGUACGGCCGCAAGGCUAAAACUCAAAAGAAUUGACGGGGGCUCGCACAAGCGGUGGAGCAUGUGGCUUAAUUCGAUGCAACGCGAAGAACCUUACCGGGGCUUGACAUGGUAGAAGUAGGAACCCGAAAGGGUAACGAACGGUAUCCAGUCCGUGACUAUCACAGGUGUUGCAUGGCUGUCGUCAGCUCGUGUCGUGAGACGUUGGGUUAAGUCCCCUAACGAGCGAAACCCUUGUUUUUAGUUACCAGCGGGUUAUGCCGGGUACUCUAGAAAGACUGCCGUCGUCAAGACGGAGGAAGGUGGGGAUGACGUCAAGUCAUCAUGGCCCUUAUGCCCCGGGCUGCACACGUGCUACAAUGGUCGGUACAAACGGAAGCGAAGCCGAGAGGUGAAGCGAAUCCAAGC
rnacentral:rRNA from 1 species